UUGAAGAGUAUUUUGUCUGAGUUUUCUCCUACAAUGAAGAAACUUGUUGAUGUUGGAAAGACAAAACCAGAAGCAAGAUCAUCUCCUCCAAGCAAGAACCCAAAUCCGUAUAUUUUACCAGAGCCUGAAGGGAAGGCAUUGCUGUGUUCCAGGACCAUUCCUACCAAGUCUGUACAUCAAGAAAUUAUUGCAGCAAAACAAUCUGGGAAACCUUUCUGUAGUCAAAAAAAAAAUUCUUCAUUCCUUCCAAAAUUGAAAUUGAAGAUCAAGACUUGUUAGUGAAUUCUUUUUCCUGUAGAAAAAUCUGGGAGAAAAACAUGUAAAAGAAGAA